CGGCGGACGGGUGAGUAACGCGUGGGUAACUACCCUGUACACACGGAUAACAUACCGAAAGGUAUGCUAAUACGGGAUAAUAUAUUUGAGAGGCAUCUCUUGAAUAUCAAAGGUGAGCCAGUACAGGAUGGACCCGCGUCUGAUUAGCUAGUUGGUAAGGUAACGGCUUACCAAGGCGACGAUCAGUAGCCGACCUGAGAGGGUGAUCGGCCACAUUGGAACUGAGACACGGUCCAA
rnacentral:rRNA from 1 species